AACGAACGCUGGCGGCAGGCUUAACACAUGCAAGUCGAACGCACCGCAAGGUGAGUGGCAGACGGGUGAGUAACGCGUGGGAACCUUCCCUUUGGUACGGAAUAACUUCGGGAAACCGGAGCUAAUACCGUAUAUCUCCUCCGGGAGAAAGAUUUAUCGCCAAAGGAUGGGCCCGCGUUGGAUUAGCUAGUUGGUAGGGUAAUGGCCUACCAAGGCAACGAUCCAUAGUUGGUCUGAGAGGAUGAUCAGCCACACUGGGACUGGAGACGACCGGCCCAGACUCCGUACGGGAGGCACG
rnacentral:rRNA from 1 species